rnacentral:rRNA from 1 species
AGUAGACACAAUAGCAACAACUCGCUAACACGUCAGGUCAAGGUGUAGCAAAUGUUGAGGAAGAGAUUGGCUACAUUUUUUAUUUCAAAACAAACGAAAUGCAACAUGAAACAUUGCACGAAGGUGAAUUUAGCAGUAAAAUGAACAAGAGAGUUCAUUUUAACACC